GAUGAACGCUGGCGGCGUGCCUAAUACAUGCAAGUCGAGCGAACAGACGAGGAGCUUGCUCCUCUGACGUUAGCGGCGGACGGGUGAGUAACACGUGGAUAACCUACCUAUAAGACUGGGAUAACUUCGGGAAACCGGAGCUAAUACCGGAUAAUAUAUUGAACCGCAUGGUUCAAUAGUGAAAGACGGUUUUGCUGCCACUUAUAGAUGGAUCCGCGCCGCAUUAGCUAGUUGGUAAGGUAACGGCUUACCAAGGCAACGAUGCGUAGCCGACCUGAGAGGGUGAUCGGCCACACUGGAACUGAGCCACGGUCCAGACUCCUACGGGAGGCAGCAGUAGGGAAUCUUCCGCAAUGGGCGAAAGCCUGACGGAGCAACGCCGCGUGAGUGAUGAAGGUCUUCGGAUCGUAAAACUCUGUUAUUAGGGAAGAACAAAUGUGUAAGUAACUAUGCACGUCUUGACGGUACCUAAUCAGAAAGCCACGGCUAACUACGUG
rnacentral:rRNA from 1 species